rnacentral:lncRNA from 1 species
UUGGUGGAUCCUUUGAUGUGUUAUUUUGUUAAAAGUGCCGUUCAGAAUAUGAGCCAAAAACAAAAAGCAUAGUCCAAUUAACAAAAAUAUUAAAUUGGGCCUGGACUGGCUGCUGUGGCACUUGCCACACUGGACCUAGCUUAGGUCCGCCCUUGAGCUUCUCCCAAAUUAGUCCCUGAGAUAUUUUGAAAGACCCAAUUUAGUUCCUAAUAAAAAUAAAAAUUAUAAAAUGGGUCUUUCAAAAUUUUAAAAUACAAUUGACCAAAUGAGAAAUGUGUAGUGAAAUAUAAUGACUUGAAUGUUG